rnacentral:rRNA from 1 species
UACGGAGGGGCUAGCGUUGUUCGGAAUUACUGGGCGUAAAGCGCACGUAGGCGGCUUUGUAAGUUAGAGGUGAAAGCCCGGGCUCAACUCCGGAAUUGCCUUUAAGACUGCAUCGCUAGAAUUGUGGAGAGGUAAGUGGAAUUCCGAGUGUAGAGGUGAAAUUCGUAGAUAUUCGGAAGAACACCAGUGGCGAAGGCGGACUUACUGGACACAUAUUGACGCUGAGGUGCGAAAGCGUGGGAGCAAACAGGAUUAAGAAACCCUGG